rnacentral:rRNA from 1 species
UGGGAAACUAGGAUUAGAUACCCUAUUACACUAAAUAUAAAUCUAAUGUGUGCUUGAGUAGUAAUCAGUUAUGUUCUUGAAAUUUAAAGGAUUUGGCGGUAUCCAAGUCUGGUUAGAGGAACCUGCUUUUUAAACGAUAUGCCACGAAUCAUCUUACUUUAUCUAGUUAUCAGUAUGUAUACCUCCAUUAUAAACGGUGUUUUUAGAGAAGUGUUAUAAUGAUUUAUUUCAAUAUAUUAGGUCAAGGUGCAGCCUAUGGUAAAGUGAUUGUGGGUUACAUUGUUUUAUAUAAUUUUACGGAUAUGGCUGUGAAAUGGGCUUUUAAAGUUGGAUUUAAUUGUAUGUUCAUUUUAAUAAGUUAAGCAUAUAAUAAGCUCUAGGAUGUGUACAUAUUGCCCGUCCCGG